AAGCAGCUUGCUGCUUUGCUGACGAGUGGCGGACGGGUGAGUAAUGUCUGGGAAACUGCCUGAUGGAGGGGGAUAACUACUGGAAACGGUAGCUAAUACCGCAUAACGUCGCAAGACCAAAGAGGGGGACCUUCGGGCCUCUUGCCAUCGGAUGUGCCCAGAUGGGAUUAGCUUGUUGGUGGGGUAACGGCUCACCAAGGCGACGAUCCCUAGCUGGUCUGAGAGGAUGACCAGCCACACUGGAACUGAGACACGGUCCAGACUCCUACGGGAGGCAGCAGUGGGGAAUAUUGCACAAUGGGCGCAAGCCUGAUGCAGCCAUGCCGCGUGUAUGAAGAAGGCCUUCGGGUUGUAAAGUACUUUCAGCGGGGAGGAAGGGAGUAAAGUUAAUACCUUUGCUCAUUGACGUUACCCGCAGAAGAAGCACCGGCU
rnacentral:rRNA from 1 species